GUUCUUUGAGGUGGAGAUUUAGUGUCGCCACACACCUCCGCAAGGAGGUUAGCAAGAGAUGCAGGGACAGGCACACCUGCCAAAGGAC
rnacentral:ncRNA from 1 species